UUUCCGUAGGUGAACCUGCGGAAGGAUCAUUAUAGAGUUAGGGUCCCUGGUCCGACCUCCAACCCUGUGUCCACAAUACCAUGUUGCUUUGGCGGGCCCGCGUUCGUCGCCGCCGAGGGGUUGACCCCCCUGGGCCCGAGCCCGCCGAUAGCACCCACUUACACUCUUGAUUAACCGUGAUUGUCUAAGUAAAAAAAAAAUCAAGCACAAAACUUUCAACAACGGAUCUCUUGGACCUGGCAGCGCGGAAGAGCACAGCAGAAAAGCAGAGCAACCGAC
rnacentral:misc_RNA from 1 species